rnacentral:lncRNA from 1 species
CCUAAGCCUGCCAGCGUGCCAAGUAUUUUUAAUUACUGACCCAUCUAAUGCCUUCAACCGAUAAGUCCCCGGCUUCGGAACUUCAGUGAUUUCGUAUGGUCCUUCCCAAUUUGGCAUCAGCUUUCCCAGAUUCUGAGGUGUAGAUGCUUCGACUUCUCUGAGGACAAAAUCUCCUACUUCAAAUCUGCGAAGUUUUACCCCCUUAUUAUAAUGCUUAGCCACUCUUCGCUGAUAGGCCGCCAAUUUGAUUAAG